rnacentral:piRNA from 1 species
UGCCUAUUAAACUUCCCGCUCCUUAAAAC